GUACCUGACCCAGGGUUUGGUGGGCGAGCUCACUACCAUCCUCCCGGUGGUCUUCUUCCUCGCUUGAUUCUUGGGCGCCCCAUCUAUUCUGGACGAGCACCUUCCAGUGGUGGGUGAGGAUAUCUGGCACGAACCACGCGCCGAGAGGAUCUCAACUUCUGCUGCCUCUGCACGCCCUAGGCCUAAUCUCACCAAACUUUGCUACACUUCACAUAAUGAGGGAAGGAGGAUGCGUCCAUCGCAACACUCAAGAAAAUCAGAUGACAAGGUGUUUGGAGCAAGCUACUCAUAGCCAACUACA